AAUAACAAAAACAAAAAACAAAAAGAGCUACUCUCUUUCAAUUUGAAAUGGAAAUACCCAAACCCCAACUGGUCUCUCUUCUCUCUUUCAAUUCGUAUCGUAAAACCCGAAGCUAGCUCCUUGUCCGAUACUUUCCCUUUUUGUUUCGUGUUACAUUUCGGAUCCCAAACCCGAUAUUUCUAUAUUUCCUCCCUUCUUCGAUUUCUCCGCUCCAUAUUUAUCUCCCUUCUUCCAAUCUAUUUAUUUUUGACGGUGGGUGAUGAUAUUAUUAGCAGCAAAACACACAAGAAUUUGGUUUCAGUUACUUUUUUGAACCAAAGCAAGCUCAACAGAGUUCUCAAUCUAUUGCAUUCUAAUCAAACAAGAUUCUGGCUCUGCCACUUGUUGCUGCAGUACAACAUGCAGUAGCAUAAGAGUUGCUGGAUUACUGUUGAACCAUGAUGCUGCUGCUGCUGCCAGAUCAGCGCCAUCGAAUUGAUUUCACCAAGCCGGUACUAUUACAUUCAGAUAUUCACACUUUUCCCUAUCCAAACUCUUCGAUUAGGUGCAUUUGCAUUGGUAUUUCAGCUCAGUGAAUGGUCAAGAAGAGUUCAAAUUUCACUAUCUGUAGGAUUGAAAGCAAGAACGUCAGUUGUAUGUGUAGUUGGUCAUGCCAGAUGUGGGUUUCCAAAACAAGCUCUUUACCUCUAUGCUGAAAUGCUUCAAGAAGGAAUAAGAGAAAGCCCAUCCACAUUUUCCUCUGUUUUGGGUUUUUGUAGUUUUUAUGUAUUUUUUUUUUAUAAAUAUAAUCUAAUUUUAGUC